rnacentral:rRNA from 1 species
UCUGACCUGCCCAUUGGAAAACUGAAAGGCCGCGGUAUUAUGACCGUGCAAAGGUAGCAUAAUCAUUAGUUUUUUAAUUGAAGGCUAGAAUGAAUGGUUGGACAAGAAAUAAUCUGUCUUAAAUUAAUAUAUUGAAUUUAACUUUUAAGUGAAAAGGCUUAAAUGAUCUCAGGGGACGAUGAGACCCUAUAAAACUUUAUAUUUUAAGGUGGAAAAUAAUUUUAUUUUAAAAUUACUAUUUUAAAUUAUUUUGUUGGGGCGACAAGGAUAUAAGAAAGGAUAACUGUCUUUUAUUUUUACAAUAAUAUUUGAAUUAUUGAUCCUAAAAGGGAUUAAAGAUUAAGUUACUUUAGGGAUAACAGCGUAAUUUUCUUUGAGAGUUCUUAUCGACAAGAAAGUUUGCGACCUCGAUGUUGAAUUAAAGGUUCUUUAUAGAGUAUAGACUAUAAGAGAAGGUCUGUUCGACCUUUAGGAUUUUACAUGAUUUGA